GAGUUUGAUCCUGGCUCAGGAUUAACGCUGGCGGCGUGCCUAACACAUGCAAGAUCGAACGCCCCACACGUUUGUUGUUUAGGAAGACCGACUAUCAAAAGUUUUGAUAGUCAUCGGCCUUCUUGGAUAGACACCAAAGUGUGGGGAGUGGCGGACGGCUGAGUAACACGUUGGUACCUGCCCUUGACUCGGGGAUAAGCGCUGGAAACGGCGUCUAAUACCCGAUAUCCUCCUCGGGGGAAAGCUUUUGCGGUCAAGGAGGGGCCUGCGCAUGAUUAGUUUGUUGGUGAGGUAACGGCUCACCAAGGCUUCGAUCAUUAGGUGGUCUGAGAGGAUGAUCAUCAGACUGGGACUGAGACACGGCCCAGACUCCUACGGGAGGCAGCAGUGAGGAAUCUUGCACAAUGGGGGAAACCCUGAUGCAGCAACGCCGCGUGGAGGAAGACGGCCUUCGGGUUGUAAACUCCUUUUAUCAAGGACGAACAUUGACGGUACUUGAUGAAUAAGAGGUGGCUAACUAUGUGCCAGCAGCCGCGGUAAUACAUAGACCUCAAGCGUUAUCCGGAUUUACUGGGCGUAAAGCGUGCGUAGGUGUCUUGGUAAGUCUCUGGUGAAAUCUCCGAGCUCAACUCGGAAACGGUCAGAGAAACUAUCAGGAUAGAGUGUCGCAGAGGCAGACGGAAUGCUAGGUGUAGCGGUAAAAUGCGUAGAUAUCUAGCAGAACACCGAUGGCGAAGGCAGUCUGCUGGGCGAUCACUGACACUGAGGUACGAAAGCGUGGGGAGCGAACGGGAUUANAUACCCCGGUAGUCCACGCCGUAAACGAUGGGUACUUGGUAUCUGGGGUAUAGACCCCCUGGGUAUCGAAGCUAACGCGUUAAGUACCCCGCCUGGGGAGUACGGCCGCAAGGCUAAAACUCAAAGGAAUUGACGGGGACCCGCACAAGCGGUGGAGCGUGUGGUUUAAUGCGACACUAAGCGCAGAACCUUACCCAGGCUUGACAUCCCGAGAAUCCCUCCGAAAGGAAGGAGUGCCGCAAGGAGCUCGGUGACAGGUGAUGCAUGGCCGUCGUCAGCUCGUGUCGUGAGAUGUUGGGUUAAGUCCCGCAACGAGCGCAACCCUUGUCGUGUGUUGUAUUUUUCACGCGAGACUGCCUCGGUUAACGAGGAGGAAGGUGGGGUCGAAGUCAGGUCCGCAUGUCCCUUAUGCCUGGGGCGACACACGCGCUACAAUGGCCGGUACAAUGGGUUGCAAAACCGCGAGGUUGAGCUAAUCUCAUCAAAACCGGUCUCAGUUCGGAUUGGAGUCUGCAACUCGACUCCAUGAAGCUGGAAUCGCUAGUAAACGUGGAUCAGCCAUGCUGCGUUGAAUACGUUCUCGGGUCUUGUACACACCGCCCGUCACAUCACGAAAGUGGGUUGUACUAGAAGCGCCAGAGCUAACCCGCAAGGGAGGCAUGGUGUAACGGUAUGAUCCAUGAUUGGGGUGAAGUCGUAANCAAGGUAGCUGUAGGAGAACCUGCGGCUGGAUCACCUCCU
rnacentral:rRNA from 1 species